rnacentral:tRNA from 1 species
UACAUUUUAGUAUAUCAUGUACUUAAGUUUUUGAUACUUAAAGAGGUAGGUUUAUCUACUAAGUGUAA